GAUGAACGCUAGCUACAGGCUUAACACAUGCAAGUCGAGGGGUAACGAGAGGAAAGCUUGCUUUCCUUGUCGACGACCGGCGCACGGGUGAGUAACGCGUAUCCAACCUGCCCCCAACUAGGGAAUAACCUUGCGAAAGUAAGACUAAUACCCUAUAAUUUCCUCAGAUGUCAUCUGACGAGGAAUAAAGAUUUAUCGGUUGUGGAUGGGGAUGCGUCUGAUUAGCUUGUUGGCGGGGUAACGGCCCACCAAGGCAACGAUCAGUAGGGGUUCUGAGAGGAAGGUCCCCCACAUUGGAACUGAGACACGGUCCAAACUCCUACGGGAGGCAGCAGUGAGGAAUAUUGGUCAAUGGGCGGAAGCCUGAACCAGCCAAGUAGCGUGCAGGAUGACGGCCCUAUGGGUCGUAAACUGCUUUUAUACAGGAAUAAAGUUAGCCACGUGUGGCUAUUUGUAGGUACUGUAUGAAUAAGGACCGGCUAAUUCCGUGCCAGCCGCCGCAGUAA
rnacentral:rRNA from 1 species